AAUUUGAGGGAAAAGCUAUCGCGGCAAAAUUUUCCCUCAUUUUCUCCUUUUACGGUUUUUCCCCAAAUCCUUCCCUCUUAUCUUCACACGACCUUUAGGUUUUAUCUUUUAGAAUCACCUUCCCAAUCCCAUCAACGUUUCAGUCCAGUGGCUGGAGCUUCGAAUUAGGUAUGAACGAGCAUUGGCCUUAUCCCAAACCAGAAUUAGGGUUUCAAAUUGUACAAUUUGCAUAUUUAAGUUGAGGAGAUUUUCAUAUCGAUUACGUGGAGUGUGUACUCUUAUUCAAAUUGCAUCACUCAUUAGGUCCUUUGGAGAUCAAUGGCUACUCUUUCACUUGUGACUGUCGUCUCUGCCAUAUUACGAUGAGCCUUUCAUUCAGUACAAAGUCAGGCUCAAAACAAGUGUGACGAUAUCCUUAACUAUUGAUAUUACUAUUGUAAAUUCUUGGAACUCGCAUGCUUCAGCUUUGGCUAAUUUAGGAGCCAAAUCAUCAAUAACCAAACUUCUAACUUGGAUCACGGAUCCAUUAAGCCCAGGUAUCCUAAGAUUUGAUUGCUCUCCUCAAUUGGGAAGUGGCAGCCCUUCCGAAUUUGGACAAAAAUCUUUUUUCCUUGCUGGUGUGGUUAAUGCAAUAACUCAGGUUAGUUCUUUUCUCUCUUCUUCUCUUUUUUUAUUUUGACAAAGUAAGCAUUUUAAUUGAUAAGCAUCCUGAGGCUUCAUAUCAUGGAGCUAAACAUAAUCAAUAAUUUGCUCUUAUAUUUUAUUUCUAUAUAAUGCUUAUCCCUUUGGAAAAUCUACUUCAAUUAGUUACCACUGUCUCAAGUCGGCUACUCCAUUCAUAAUGACGAGCACCAUGCUGAGACAAUGUAUUUGCUAGAUUGCUCCAAGAUUUUCUGUCAUUUACUUCGACAUUGCGAGUUUCAUAUGAUGAAAAUCCAAGCAAUAAAUGGUUAGAAUUUUUUUCAUUUCUAAACCUGUUUUAUCCAAACUGCACGGUCCCCAAGUAAGCUUAAAUGUUCCACGUACUGUAAACUAGACAUGA